rnacentral:misc_RNA from 1 species
UGGAUUGAUAGUAUUCGAUGAGCGGAGCGGUCUGCUCAUCAUACGUAUGCAGACGCACUUUCAGCGCUUCGUGAUUGUCGUCGAGACGGGCGUCCCCGCCGGCUUCCUGCAUCUCACGAGCCCUGAUCAUGAUCCGAUCGAGCAAGAUCUCCUCGUUUGCGCGCUCCUGACGCCAACAUAUGCAAGAUGCGCGGUUCGGGGGAAGGUUCCGUCAGACCAUCUAGCUGUUACUUGCGGACAGCCGGCCGCAGAAUGAGGUGUCCAUUCGGACGACA